GACGAACGCCGGCGGCGUGCCUAAUACAUGCAAGUAGAACGCUGAAGGAGGAGCUUGCUCUUCUGGAUGAGUUGCGAACGGGUGAGUAACGCGUAGGUAACCUGCCUGGUAGCGGGGGAUAACUAUUGGAAACGAUAGCUAAUACCGCAUAACAGUAGAUGUUGCAUGACAUUUACUUAAAAGGUGCAAUUGCAUCACUACCAGAUGGACCUGCGUUGUAUUAGCUAGUUGGUGGGGUAACGGCUCACCAAGGCGACGAUACAUAGCCGACCUGAGAGGGUGAUCGGCCACACUGGGACUGAGACACGGCCCAGACUCCUACGGGAGGCAGCAGUAGGGAAUCUUCGGCAAUGGACGGAAGUCUGACCGAGCAACGCCGCGUGAGUGAAGAAGGUUUUCGGAUCGUAAAGCUCUGUUGUAAGAGAAGAACGAGUGUGAGAGCGGAAAGUUCACACUGUGACGGUAUCUUACCAGAAAGGGACGGCUAACUACGUG
rnacentral:rRNA from 1 species